UUUAUAAGUGACUCAGUCUCAUGUAUUUCUGUAUAGCAGUGCAAAUGGACAAACACAGUUUCCAUCCUGCCUGUCCUGCCUCUCUCCCAACCUCCACCUCCCUCUCCUCAGCCCCCCGACCAGAUGUCCUUCCUGGGCCACACUACCCUGUAUCCUGUCCCCAGUGAGAAGCUCACCUUCCAGAGGCCAGCCUGGCGUGGACUGGGUGUGGGGCACGUGAACCAAAGCCCAGAGCUAGCCCCGAGGAGUGAUCCUUGCGUGGGACUAGAAAGAGGGGACCCGCUGUGUCCUCAGUGAGAAGGAGGGCAGGGAUGCAGGGGUGCAGCCCUCAGAUAACAAGUGACAACUGGCCGGGCACAAGGAGGGGUGUUUAAGGUUGAGGUGAGACUGGAUUGGCCUCAGGGAACUACUGCCACAGGAGGAAAAUGUGAGCCAGAAAGAGGCCCCAGGGCAAAUGGCACCAAGCUCAGCUAUCUGGGGAAGAGUUUAAAUCUGUUCAUGAGCCCCUCGCACCCGUGCUUCUCUACCUGUGACCUCAUCCCAUCGUCACAAGAGCCCUGUGUGGUACAUGGAAUUUCGUAGGAAAGGAAACUGCUGUUCAGUGAAGGGAGGAACCUGCCCAGACAGGCCUGGGAACCUGCCAGCAAGGCAGUCCACCACCACGUCCUUUUGCCUCUGGCCGCGGCACACUGGAGGGAAGCCGUGGGGCCCUGCAGGGAACCCUGCCUUGUCCAGACUCUGCAAGGUGCCUCUGCAGGGCUUCUGGCGUCCCUUCCACAGGAGCUAUUUGCAACCCUGGGAAUUGUAGAGAACUUCUGUCCUGCCUGGAGAGGCUUGACUGCCCCUGUGGGCCCUGCUGAGAGGCUGGCUCUGCUUCCAUCUGUACUUCAUGCUCCUCACUCCGUGUGAACUCCUGCCACUGGGACUGCCUCUGAGAACCAGUCACAGCACCUGCCAGCUUCCCUCAUGAGACCCUAAAGGAGAACUCUUACCAGCCCCCACCCCACCCCACCGCAGCACAGACUACGCUGGGAUGCCAAGGACUGACAUUCAUACCUGUGUUCUCCUCUCCUUGUGAAGUCCAGAGAACUGAGUGCUACUCUUUUCCUAGUGGCAUUGUCACCGCUGUGAUGAGACUGGACCGCGAGGAGGCAGCAGGAGGAGCGUGGCCACCUCUGCAAUUGACACCAAAGCCCAACCUUUUAUGUGAGAGCGUGGCAGGCUUCCUGAGUGGGAGGCAUUCUGAGCAUAUCACUUAAGGACUGCACUAGAGGAAAACAUGGAGUGAACUCGCUGACAACGAUUUUUGAAAUCCAGGGUAAUUAGUUCCAUCAGAACAAUCCCAAUUACAUUCCUAAUUCUCUCUGCCUUGCUGAAAGCACCGAAAGUGAACCAUGUUGGUGUCAUUAUAUUCCUGCUCAGAAGAGUCUUUAUCACCAGCGCUGGGAAUGGAGGAGGGGUUGAGGAAGGGGCCAGUGCCCAGGUUGUGGGAAGCCCCCACAAGGGGACCAAGCCAAUGAUACCAGCGUGGCACAAGGGCCUGAAAGUCAAAGAGUGGCCAGUGCGGGGUGAGGAAGGGGACCAAGUUUCUGGUCGUCUCCCGAGGAAUUCAAGUAACACUCAUGUGAGGACAUUUAUAACGUCAGCUCCAGAGACAUCUUGGUAGCCAAAUGAGGAAAGAAAAUAACUUUCAUCUGAGGAAUUUGAGACCUUUCAAAUUAUUACAGCCAGAGAGACAUUAAAAUGGGACAAUAAGCCA
rnacentral:lncRNA from 1 species